rnacentral:rRNA from 1 species
UACGAAGGGGCUAGCGUUGUUCGGAAUUACUGGGCGUAAAGCGCGCGCAGGCGGCUAUCCAAGUCAGUGGUGAAAGCCCGGAGCUCAACUCCGGAACUGCCAUUGAAACUGUUUAGCUUGAGGAUGAGAGAGGUGAGUGGAAUUCCCAGUGUAGAGGUGAAAUUCGUAGAUAUUGGGAAGAACACCGGUGGCGAAGGCGGCUCACUGGCUCAUUACUGACGCUCAGGCGCGAUAGCGUGGGGAUCAAACAGG